rnacentral:rRNA from 1 species
UACGUAGGAGGCAAGCGUUGUCCGGAAUUACUGGGUGUAAAGCGCGUGUAGGCGGCAGGCUAAGUCUGUGGUGAAAUCGCUCGGCUCAACUGGGCGGGGUCCAUGGAAACUGGUCAGCUGGAGGACGGUAGAGGUGAGUGGAAUUCCCGGUGUAGUGGUGAAAUGCGUAGAGAUCGGGAGGAACACCCGUGGCGAAGGCGGCUCACUGGGCCGGUCCUGACGCUGGGACGCGAAGGCGUGGGGAGCGAACGGG